rnacentral:misc_RNA from 1 species
GAUGAAGAACGUAGCGAAAUGCGAUAAGUAAUGUGAAUUGCAGAAUUCAGUGAAUCAUCGAAUCUUUGAACGCACCUUGCGCCCCUUGGUUAUUCCAAAGGGCAUGCCUGUCUGAGUAUCAUGAACACCUCAACUCUUGUGGUUUCCCACAAUGAGCUUGGACUGUGGAGGUUUUGUUGGCCCUGUGGUCAGCUCCUCUCAAAUGGAUCAGCUUACCGGUGUUUGGUGGCAUUACGGGUGUGAUAACUAUCUACGCUCGUGGUCGUCUCCAAAUAACCUCCAGUGAUGGAGGUUCGCUGGAGCUUAUAAAUGUCUCUCCCCAGUGAAGACAGCCUUUGAACGUUCGAUCUCAAAUCAGGUAGGACUACCCGCUGAACUUAAGCAUAUCAAUAAGCGGAGGA